rnacentral:rRNA from 1 species
GACGAACGCUGGCGGCGUGCCUAAUACAUGCAAGUAGAACGCUGAAGGAGGAGCUUGCUUCUCCGGAUGAGUUGCGAACGGGUGAGUAACGCGUAGGUAACCUGCCUGGUAGCGGGGGAUAACUAUUGGAAACGAUAGCUAAUACCGCAUAACAGUAGAUGUUGCAUGACAUUUGCUUAAAAGGUGCAAUUGCAUCACUACCAGAUGGACCUGCGUUGUAUUAGCUAGUUGGUGAGGUAACGGCUCACCAAGGCGACGAUACAUAGCCGACCUGAGAGGGUGAUCGGCCACACUGGGACUGAGACACGGCCCAGACUCCUACGGGAGGCAGCAGUAGGGAAUCUUCGGCAAUGGGCGGAAGUCUGACCGAGCAACGCCGCGUGAGUGAAGAAGGUUUUCGGAUCGUAAAGCUCUGUUGUAAGAGAAGAAAGAGUGUGAGAGUGGAAAGUUCACACUGUGACGGUAUCUUAACAGAAAGGGACGGCUAACUACGUG